AUUGAACGCUGGCGGCAGGCCUUACACAUGCAAGUCGAACGAGUGGCGGACGGGUGAGUAAUGUCUGGGAACCUGCCUGAUGGAGGGGGAUAACUACUGGAAACGGUAGCUAAUACCGCAUACCAUCAGAUGUGCCCAGAUGGGAUUAGCUUGUUGGUGGGGUAACGGCUCACCAAGGCGACGAUCCGUAGCUGGUGUGAGAGGAUGACCAGCCAAACUGGAACUGAGACACGGUCCAGACUCCUACGGGAGGCAGCAGUGGGGAAUAUUGGACAAUGGGGGAAAGCCUGAUGCAGCCAUGCCGCGUGUAUGAAGAAGGCCUUCGGGUUGUAAAGUACUUUCGGCGGGGAGGCGUUACCCGCAGAAGAAGCACCGGCUAACUCCGUGCCAGCAGCCGCGGUAAUUC
rnacentral:rRNA from 1 species